rnacentral:lncRNA from 1 species
AUUUUUUUUUUAAGAAUUUCUUCAUUGGUAUUAGAGCCUGAAUUGUGUUGGAUUCGUGCAUUUGUUGGAUUUAAUUCAUGAAAAGCUUGAUUUUUUUUUAAUUUUUGUGAUGUUGUUGUUUUAAGUGUUCUGGAAUGUUUAAUAUGAAUGGAUUAAUUUUGAAAUUGAUAUUAUUAAAACUAGCCUAAGGUUAAGAUUGCAUGAACCCUAAAUAUAUAUGAAACCCGAAACUUCAAUGGAUCAUAUCUUUUGAUUUAGGACACCUGACAAUAUGUGUGAUAUAUCAUUGGAAAGAUCUUUUUGAGAGCUUUCCAACGGUAUGUGAUUUGUUAAAAACGGACUUAAUACGAGAAAUUUAUGACCAAAAUAUGAUUAUGGUAGGAUUAGGAUUUGGAAAGGGUUAAAAACUUUAAUUUGGACAAGAUGAUGAACAGUGCCAGAGUUAGUUUUUUUGACGGUUUCAGCCUAUUCCGACCUCCGUUUGAAAAUCCGAAUGUUCCAUUGAAUUCAUAAUGAAGAUCCAAUGUGCUCGUUAGUGCCGUGACUGGCAGUGCCUCUGGUUGCACUAAAAAAUUCAGCCAAUUUGCUCAUGGUGUCCUCCAGACACUACAGCUUGUCAUUGAUUCCAAUUUUCAUUUGUUCCAUCUUGUUUUGGAAGCUCCCAAUAUCAGCUUCAAUUUGUUCGAUGCGCUUCUUGUUGGUCGUCAUUGAUAGCUAGCUCUUAUACCAAUGUUAGGUCCCAGCCAAAUGUAGCUAACAAUUACAAUUGUUAGAAGUAAUAUUUUUUACUUAUGGUGAGAAGUAAUACUCUUCCCCUUUAUUCAUAUCUCUGGAGCUUAUUUAUAACAAAAGACUUUGAUUUCCAACCCAAUAUCUUAGCUGGAAUCAAUCAACAAAUAUCAAACUAACAACUUGACUAAUAUUUCGAACUGAAAAAUAAAUCAAAAGCAAACUUCCAAGAUUUGGAUCCCCCCUCAAUCUCUGCACGAUCUCUCACAAAGUAAACCCAAAAUCAUGGCUCCGAUUUGGCAUUCACACAUUAACCUCACGUGAGACUUCAUGCAUGGCUUUGGGAAUGGCUUUGCAUGGCACUCUUCACGUAGUGGACUUUGGGUUUGGCUUUGGUAGCCUAUCAGACCUUCGUGGCUCAUGACUCAGCACUCUAUCAGAUUGUUCCUUAGUUUGAUGAUAGGAACGCCACCAUGGCUUGAGUUAUUAUUUUUGUAUACCAUUCUGUCGACUUUUGAUGCACAUACUCUUGUUCUUGUACUUUUGCAUUUUAUUUAUUAUGUAUUUAAUUUUCUGCAGCGGCUGAUUAAUUAAUUUAUCUUUAAAUCAAUGCUUGAUCGCAGAUACAUUUAAUGUUUCUAUUUGAAUUUUUAUUUUUAUUUUAUAAUUUUUUUGUGAGUUUUGUGUAUGCGGUAAAAUCCUUUGUCUUUAUUCGAACAUUGAGAACAAGUACUUAAAACUCUUUCUAGUUUUCAUAUUUCGGAGAGGGGACUGGCUGUUGAUAAACUAAAUAAGUUAUUUUUCUCAUUAAAAAUUUUGUAUUUUAAAAUUAUUCUGAAAAGCUUUAAUAUUUUCGAUUAUAAGUUUAAAGUAAUUUUCACCUUUUUUUUUCAAGUGAGAUUAGUUGAUAUUGCAGGACUUUAAUUAGUUAAAUUAGCUGUCAUAUUUAAAAAAUAAUAAUGUUUAGUUUUUGAAUGAACACAUUUUGCUUUCAAACUUUGUAAAAUUAAAUAAUUUCUAAAAUCAAGCAUACCGCCUAUUAAAAAAAAGGGCAAAAUACCAAAAGCCCACCGAAGCCCACAAAGUUUUGGAUUACGUGCAAACUUAGGACAAAGACUAAUAAGGCCCAAAUUUUAAGUCUUCCAAAUCGUAACAAGCUUCUUUGUCAACUCAAUUUUUUAAAAAUAAAUUUCGAAAUUUGCUAACAAUUAUUUGGUUAAAUUUUAAAGUGUUUGAAAUUAUGAGAUUUUGUAAUUAUAUAUUUAAAAGUUAAUCAUCAAUUGGUAACACUUAUUAAUUCUAAUUGAUUGACACCAACUAAUAACAUAAUGUGACUGAUCUCAUAUAAAACUUUCUCGAUAUAUAAUUAUCGUGGACUACAUGUUUCUUGUUUCGAAAUCGGAGGCCAUUACUAAUUUACCCAAGUGGGGCUUUCCCCAGUGUUUUAAGCAAACGCCUAACACACAUGAUUUUUUAUCAUUAAAAAGAUAGAGAUUUGAGAUGAUGAAAUUGGAUGAUUUGGUGCAUCUAAUUCAUAAUAUGACAAGAUGAGAUUUCACUUACCAACAUAUUUGCUAGUCAAAUAUAAGAAAUUGCAAAACAAGUCGUGUUUUAUUAUAUUCGUUAAAAGCCUUUCAAUCAUGUAUCUGUUGGCCAAUUAAAUUACGCAAUUAACACCCUUUUCUUCAUCUUGUUCAAAAUCAGAUUCGCUGCUUUUACUUCAAAAAAAAACAAUAAAUGAAUCGCAGGUUUCUUUCUUAAACAAAUAAUUUUUUAUUUUUUAUUUUUUAUUUUUAUCUCGAGAGGGAGAGACCUUCCCCCUGGCCAAUAAGUCCGUUUCCACAAUUUGAGGAUGAUUUAUGAGUUUUCUUUAUUUUCGACACAAAAUUCAAUACGUUUGAAGAAAAAAAGAAAUGUGAGUUGGACAAAUUCAUUGGAAAAAAAUUUAGUCAAUUGUGUUAUAAAAUGUAUCUCUCCGACCGUUGUUUUCGUUGAUUUUAUUUGUUAAGUCAGUCUACAACACAAACCCUAAAAUGUUUCAAUCUCACCAAUUAUUUUUUCUAUAAAAUUUUUUUUAUUACAUUUAUAUGGCACUAUUUUUGUUAUACUUUCAAUUUUUUUUUUUUUGUCAGCACGUUACAAAAUACAAGAGCAUUUAACGUAGUUUAUGAACACCCAGGUUCUAAAUGGUUAAUAGAACAAGGACUGACGUUAAUUUAGGAAGUGAAAAUUUUCAUCUAUAUCCAAAUCUAAAAAAUAAUAAUAUAAAAUUAAAUAAAACACCUGUAACUUUAAGACAUACAUAUCCUCAAUGCUGGGAGUCGUAAUGAAAAGAAGAAGAAUUACAACAAAAUUGGGGACCAUAAUGGAAACUGGUAGAACCUACAAGGGCUAAUCUUAUCUUUCAAUUGAUUUUUGUGGAGCCAGAAACAAUUAAACCCGAACAGCAAAUAGCCAUAAAUGAAAGCACAAUUAAAUUGGAACUCUCCGCAGACCCACGAUUUAAUAUCUUUAGAUUGUAACGAUUCAACCCAAAAAAAUAUUCUAGUAAAAUAUUUCUUAAAAAAAUGCUUCUUCACGUCACAACGUUGAAAACAAGAACAAAAUUGUGGUCCACGUGUCAUUUCAAAGUAGGUUGCUGGCAUAAACAUCCGGCUCCAUCCCGGACAGAUGUUAUGUGAGUGGUUGGUACGCGUUUCCACUUUUUUGUUUCAGAUGCAACGACUCAUGCACUAAAAAAAAAAAAUAAAUAAAUUUACGUUUAAGUUUUAAAAAUUAAUAUCGAUUUAAAUAUGAAUCUAAUGUUAAACUCUUAUUCAGGCAUCGAUUGUACUCGGCAAAAUAAUAAUAAUAAUAAUUAAGAAGCAGAGGCCAGGCAGGCGGUUGUAGGGCUGCUGCUAUCUUAUAGUUUUAGAAGAAGGUUCUUUUCUUUCUUUAGAGUUGAUGCCGUGAGACGUUUUUUAUAUUAUUAUGAUAACUUUGGUUGCGGAUUCAAUUGAAAUAAUAAUUCUUCUUCGACGCGUACCGACCGCCCUCGCUAAACUCUCCUUCCAAGAAAUUAACAACAACCACUCCGCCAUUUUUCUUCUAUAAAUACAUAUACUUCACACACAUUUACAUAUUUACACCCACUCUCGUCGACAUCAUCAUCAUCAAUUAACAUAUCUCCAACUUCAGCUUCUUCUCCCACCUAACUUGUCAUUUUUCUUCCUUUGCCUUUGCCAGUCUUUUCUCUCUUCUAUCAACUGCAAGCAUGAGCUCCUACAAUCAGAAUCAGUCCUCAGGUAACUAAAUCAUCUGCAUAUCCUACUUCUCCUCCUGUUGUUACGUUCCCAAGUUUUUAAAUUGUGAAUUUUGAAUCUACAUGUUUUAUCUUAACUGGGUAAUUGUGUAUAUGUAGUAGCAUACCCCCCACCACCACCGUCUACAACGGCGGGUCUGUACGUGGCGGCGCCACCACCGGCAGGUUAUCCAACGAAAGACGGCGAUCAUGGUUACGCUCAAAAUGCCCCCGUAGAAACCAAGUCCAGAGGUGAUGGCUUCUGGAAAGGAUGGUAUGCAAUCUUUAUGUGUUUCACCUCACCUUAUGUUAAUUAUUCGUAUAUAUGUAUAUACACACGCACAUCUAUCAUAUGUGUAGUGACUGAUUUGGUCGGUUUAAUUUGCAGUUGUGCUGGCUUGUGUUGCUGCUGUGCCUUGGACGCCUGCUUCUGAACACACAUACGCACGGUUGAUCGUUUGAUUUUGGGGAUUCUUUUUUAUUUCCAUUAUUAUAUUACGUGUAUAAAUAAUAAUAAUAAAAACAGUUCAGAUUGUUCCUUAGUUUGAUGAUAGGAACGCCCCCGUGGCUUGAGUUAUUAUUUUUGUAUACCAUUCUGUAGCCUUUUGAUACACAUACUCUUAUUUUUGUAUACCAUUCUGUAGACUUUUGAUACACAUACUCUUGUUCUUGUACUUUGAAUUUUAUUUACUAUGUAUUUAAUUCUCUGCAGUGGCUGAUUAAUUUAUCUUUAAAUCAAUGCUUGAUUGUAGAUACAUUUUCAAUACAAAAUAAGAACGAGUUGGUUUGGGGCCAACACAAACGCAUACAUACAUGCAAUCACAUGGAAAGCACGUUCAUAACAAGAAUGAAAAUAUCAUGAUUUUAACAUAUUUUUCAAAAACAUAUUUUUGGAUUUAUCCUAUGAAUAAUCAAAAGUCUAUCACAAUCUUUUAAAUCAGCAUUAUAAACCAUCAACUUAAAAAAGAAGGAGCAACCAACAUAAUUUUUGUAACAACGUUGUUUUAGUAAAAUUUAAUUUCAUUACGAAAAGUUCACUUCGUCUGGUCAACUAUAACAAAGAUAGAAAUACAAGCUCAUUCUUUAGCAUUGAUGCCGUGUGCUUUUGAGUCAGAGGAAUGAUUUUCAAUUGAGUGCUAACUGCUUCGAGAGAAAAUAACUCGUUCUCCGCUGGUGUAAAGACUAAAGAGAUGCCCGAUUUGGUGUACUUUCCAACCUUUUGAAUCCGAACACAAAAUUCCAAACAAAACUGUCAAAGCUGACCUUUGCGAAAGAAACGAAAUGACACCUGCACCCAUCAAGUGAAAAUAGUUUAUUUGAUGCGAUUUAUAGGAUAAUUUAUUUCAUUAUUUCUACUGUACCGACUAAAUAAUCUGGUAGAUAUCACAACACUUUAAUCAUAAAUUUUUUUAAAGAGUGGUAUCAAAUAAUUAGUUAGACUACAUUUUAAUUUGUUAAAAGUCUUCUUUAAGUCCUAUUUGUUAUUGAGAUACUGUAACUUUUAAGAUACAUCUCUUAUUGGGAAAAAAAAUCUUGUAGUUAUAAAAUAAAAAUUAAUAGUAUGUAGUAAAUGUAAUUAUUAAAUAAUAAUUUUAACAAAAUUAGUAAAGAUAUUAAUAGAUUUUUCAUUAUAUAAGUGUAAAAUUAUAAGUGUAAAAUCAAAUUAAUUCAACUUCUAAUCUACAAUAACUAGUAUUUAUUAAAUGGGAAAAGGACAAACACACCCCCAACGUUUAGACAAAGGGACAAAAAUCCUCCUAACGUUUCAAAAAAGACAUUUACACCCCUAUUCACUAACGGAAACAGUAACGUUUAACUGAAAUUACCGUUAUACCCUUCUAGCAUAUAAAAAAGAUUAUUGAUUAUCCAAUUUUUUGCAUUUAACGUAGUUUAUGAACACCCAGGUUCUAAAUGGUUAAUAGAACAAGGACUGACGUUAAUUUAGGAAGUGAAAAUUUUCAUCUAUAUCCAAAUCUAAAAAAUAAUAAUAUAAAAUUAAAUAAAACACCUGUAACUUUAAGACAUACAUAUCCUCAAUGCUGGGAGUCGUAAUGAAAAGAAGAAGAAUUACAACAAAAUUGGGGACCAUAAUGGAAACUGGUAGAACCUACAAGGGCUAAUCUUAUCUUUCAAUUGAUUUUUGUGGAGCCAGAAACAAUUAAACCCGAACAGCAAAUAGCCAUAAAUGAAAGCACAAUUAAAUUGGAACUCUCCGCAGACCCACGAUUUAAUAUCUUUAGAUUGUAACGAUUCAACCCAAAAAAAUAUUCUAGUAAAAUAUUUCUUAAAAAAAUGCUUCUUCACGUCACAACGUUGAAAACAAGAACAAAAUUGUGGUCCACGUGUCAUUUCAAAGUAGGUUGCUGGCAUAAACAUCCGGCUCCAUCCCGGACAGAUGUUAUGUGAGUGGUUGGUACGCGUUUCCACUUUUUUGUUUCAGAUGCAACGACUCAUGCACUAAAAAAAAAAAAUAAAUAAAUUUACGUUUAAGUUUUAAAAAUUAAUAUCGAUUUAAAUAUGAAUCUAAUGUUAAACUCUUAUUCAGGCAUCGAUUGUACUCGGCAAAAUAAUAAUAAUAAUAAUUAAGAAGCAGAGGCCAGGCAGGCGGUUGUAGGGCUGCUGCUAUCUUAUAGUUUUAGAAGAAGGUUCUUUUCUUUCUUUAGAGUUGAUGCCGUGAGACGUUUUUUAUAUUAUUAUGAUAACUUUGGUUGCGGAUUCAAUUGAAAUAAUAAUUCUUCUUCGACGCGUACCGACCGCCCUCGCUAAACUCUCCUUCCAAGAAAUUAACAACAACCACUCCGCCAUUUUUCUUCUAUAAAUACAUAUACUUCACACACAUUUACAUAUUUACACCCACUCUCGUCGACAUCAUCAUCAUCAAUUAACAUAUCUCCAACUUCAGCUUCUUCUCCCACCUAACUUGUCAUUUUUCUUCCUUUGCCUUUGCCAGUCUUUUCUCUCUUCUAUCAACUGCAAGCAUGAGCUCCUACAAUCAGAAUCAGUCCUCAGGUAACUAAAUCAUCUGCAUAUCCUACUUCUCCUCCUGUUGUUACGUUCCCAAGUUUUUAAAUUGUGAAUUUUGAAUCUACAUGUUUUAUCUUAACUGGGUAAUUGUGUAUAUGUAGUAGCAUACCCCCCACCACCACCGUCUACAACGGCGGGUCUGUACGUGGCGGCGCCACCACCGGCAGGUUAUCCAACGAAAGACGGCGAUCAUGGUUACGCUCAAAAUGCCCCCGUAGAAACCAAGUCCAGAGGUGAUGGCUUCUGGAAAGGAUGGUAUGCAAUCUUUAUGUGUUUCACCUCACCUUAUGUUAAUUAUUCGUAUAUAUGUAUAUACACACGCACAUCUAUCAUAUGUGUAGUGACUGAUUUGGUCGGUUUAAUUUGCAGUUGUGCUGGCUUGUGUUGCUGC